UGGCCAAAAACCCAAACACACCCCCACGCAAAAUCACACCGAGUGCCUCCUCGAUAUGCCCUCUGACGAACGGACCCGAAUCUUUUGCGUCAAAAAGAGGAAAACCCAAGCAAAUUCUCCGGCCUCCGAAGGACCACAAGUACCUCUAACAGAAACCGAUCCUCCGCCAACCUCCCUGGUUGAAAUCGUUGUUUCUAAC
rnacentral:lncRNA from 1 species